CCGGAAUAUAUAAGGGAUGCACGACUGGAAAUAGCUUGUGCCUUACUCCAGUAUAAAGGUCAGCUCUAUCACACAAUGCAUGAAAGCUUUGUCUUGGAAAAUUGUGUUCAGACUUAAAAUCCCCACAUAUUAAAUCAUUGUGCCGGAAACGUGUUUUAUUAUUAAUUCACUCAGAAAAUACAUAUUUGCUUACAUUUUAACAUGCUGCACCAUAAUAUAAUGCACAUUUUUUUUCCAAUUAUUUUUGUAGAUGCUGUAUGAGUCCCUUCAGGAUGUAGCCCCACAAUCAAUAGAUCCAAACAAAUGCAAUAAGGUUAGUAUACUGUAUACUUUUGUACUUGCUACAAACUCUUGUGGCUAGUUAUUCACAUUAACAAUUAUUGUGUUUUUUUUUUUCUUGUUUGACAACUCUGAGCACAGUCUUGAGGGAGAUGAAGGGUACAAUGUUUGGUUCCAGUGCCAGAGAGGCCACCAUGAUGAACCUCAACCUGCUGAAACAGAAAACUUCCUCUACACUUGGCUGUUUCAUAACACAUGCUGCAGAUAUGACGUAACCUUCAUUUUCCUGUGAUUAUAAAUGGUGGGCCACCACGAGAGAGAUCAUGACAUUAUACCAAUAUUGCUUCCCUCAUGCCAUACAUCUUUUAUUUUACAGGUGCUUAAACUUUCUCCGUGUUCUGUGGUUACCACAGUCUGUCUUUGCAAGGCAGGUUUUUCUGUUAC